UACAGAGGGUGCGAGCGUUAAUCGGAAUUACUGGGCGUAAAGCGUGCGUAGACGGUUAUUUAAGUCGGGUGUGAAAGCCCCGGGCUCAACCUGGGAUUUGCAUUCGAGACUGAAUAGCUAGGGUACGGUAGAGGGAAGUGGAAUUUCCGGUGUAGCGGUGAAAUGCGUAGAUAUCGGAAGGAACAUCAGUGGCGAAAGCGACUUCCUGGACCAGUACCGACGUUCAGGCACGAAAGCGUGGGGAGCAAACGGG
rnacentral:rRNA from 1 species